rnacentral:rRNA from 1 species
ACAGGUGCUGCAUGGCUGUCGUCAGCUCGUGUCGUGAGAUGUUGGGUUAAAGUCCCGCAACGAGCGCAACCCUUGUCUUUAAUUGCCAGCAUUCAGUUGGGCACUUUAAAGAGACUGCCGGUGUUAAGCCGGAGAAGGUGGGGAUGACGUCAAGUCCUCAUGGCCUUUAUGCCCAGGGCUACACACGUGCUACAAUGGUUGGUACAACGAGUUGCGAGUCGGUGACGGCGAGCUAAUCUCUUAAAGCCAAUCUCAGUUCGGAUUGUAGGCUGCAACUCGCCUACAUGAAGUCGGAAUCGCUAGUAAUCGCGGAUCAGCACGCCGCGGUGAAUACGUUCCCGGGCCUU